GGUGUAAAAAAAUUAAAAAAUUUAACCCUAAAUGAAAAUUCUCGAGCCAUUCCCUCUCUCUGAACUUUCCCUCUCAGCUUUCCCUCUUUCCCUCUCAUCUCUUUCCUUCUCGAUAUCUUUCCCUCUCGAUCAAAACCAUUGUCUCAUGUUUUCCUUUAAUGAGGUUUCGAGAAAGGGAAUGGGGAAGGGUUUGCGAUCGCACGACUCUGGGUCGCUACGUGCCGCUAAGGGCGCUCGUGCUCCGGUCUAAUUGAGGGUUUGGAUCGACGGCCACUGCACAGUGCUACUAGAAGGAUGACGAGGGAGAGGAGCGCUCCACACGCGGCAUGCUUAACGCACAAGGUUGCAAGCCGAAGCGCGGAGUGCAGUGGGUGAUGAUAGGGGAGCCUCGAGCUAGGAGGAACGUCUUAGCGCAAAGGCUCUCGAAGCUUCUAAAAGUUCCUCACAUUUCCAUAGCUACGCUCUUUAACCAGGACCUCAACCCUCGCUCAUACCUCUAUCACCAAAUAACAAAUGCUUUAGAUCAUGGAAAACUUGUCCUAGAGGAAAAUAUUCUUUUAUGACCAUUACGUUUCGUUCUUUUCGCGCUCACGGUCACACUAUCAAAGUUCCUUCAUCUAUAACAAUAUGUGGUGUAGUUCGGAAGACAUUGUUCCAUUGUUACCAAAUAUCGAUUGAGGCGAGGGUGUUGCAUUUUGGAAACAUUCGAAGUGGUAGUAAGGUAUGUUUCAAUGAUAUUUGUUUUCUCAUAAGGUUUUUGUUAUGCUGUUUUGUUCAUCAUUAUCUCUAACCUUUCAUCUUCUGUAGGAGUAGCCAAAACAGGGUUUAUUCGGUCAACUUGGUGUAUUGGUAGUAUCGUACACUCAAAACCAUUAGCGAUUCNCGUCCUCUCUUUUCCCUCCCCCACCUUGAGUAGAUAACUAUAUUCUGGCUUCUAGAAGGAAAAGCCAAAUAUCAAAGUUCAUAAUAUUCUCUUUGAUAUCAAAGUUUUAAGCCAACAGAUUAGCAAUAACUUGACUUUUCCAAUUGCUUGCUUUCUGGUUUAUAGGGAAGUUUAUUCUUUUCUAUGUGCUUAGAAGUUUGGUUGUUAGAUGGUGGCUACUAACUGUUACAUGUAAUAGGAACUUAAAAGUCGGCUUGAAUAACAUUUAGUAGUCAUUUAUAAUGUAUGCCAAGUCCUCCACUGGAGUGAAUGAAAGGACAUAUAAAGAGCAGAGAUGAAGUAAGGUGGACUACGUCUAUUUGCUCAAGAAGAAGAAACUGGCGUGGUGCCUUAACAUUUGGCNUUUCACAAUUCUUUAAGGCAAAUGAUGGGUGAGGCUUUGAGCGAUAUGGAUGCCAAGGAUCUCAAAAACCUAGAGACUAAAUUAGAAAAAGGAAUUAGCAGAAUUCGAUCAAAGAAGAAUGAACUGCUAUUUGCAGAAAUUGAGUACAUCAAAAGAGGGAAGCUAAAGAGCAAUUGAAGCAAGUUUUCUCGGAGGCUGGGGAGAAAGAGUUUCUGGACUCGAAUUCAAAUUUUCGGGAAUUAAUCUUGAACUUGCCUCGAGCAAGCAAGUUCACUAUAUCUUUUUUUUUUUGUUUUUUAUGUUCACAUACGUGCCUUUACAUGGUAAAAUUAUUAUCAUUAAUAGUUUUGUUUUAAUUCUGUAACUGGAUUCAUCAUUCUUGAGGCCUUCAACAAAUAUGGAGCAAAUUGUGGUCGUGAGGCUGUUUUGUUCAAGAGUUAUUGCAUUUGGGAGCUGGUGUCAUUUCUUCUGAUGAACCGUUGCUUUGCGUGGAUGACCUUGCUGACCAGAUUGCAGAAGUCCUUGAUUUCUUUGGGAAUUUAACCCUUAUCCAAAACCCUCUUAAAUCAGGCUACGGGAGGUUCUGUGCUUGGGUGUAACAGCUGGUGCUUAUGUUCUCACUCUAUCUGCUAUGCCAUCUUCUUGUUAAUUUUUUAUCUUUAACAGUUGAAGCAUUUUGCAUCUCCCAUUGAUCACAUCCUUGACUUCUUUUACUAUGUAUGGUUGAUCUAGCUAAAGUUCAAGGAGCACUGGGAGAUAACGAUCCAGGUAUUCCAUUAAUAAAGAUUGUAGACUUCCCUCCCUGCCAUAAUGUUAUAUUAUGAAUACAACACAAUAUGUCUGAAAUCAUUGUAACAAUUGAUGAUGGCUUGCAACAUUAGCGUUCCAAAUUCAAAGAGCUUCUGCAACAUGUUCUCUGAUAUGA